UAGUGUUCAGAGGAAAGCUACUAAUAGAGAGGCAGAGGAUUUCCUUUGUUUACUUCGUCGUAGACGUGAAAGCCUCGUGAGGUAUUUCGCCAAAUGUCUCAUUAUAUUCAGCUGAAAGCAAGCAAUUCUUCAAAAUCAACGCCAACGAAAUCAAGGCCAUUGAUUGCGUGGUAGGAGCACUCCAGGACCGGCCUCCAAACGACGGUAAAAAUGGUGGCAUUAAGCAAAGGACGAUGUACUGUCGUUUUACGUUCGACUCAGUCGACCUGCGAAUUGACUCAACACAGCCAGCUUGAGCCUUAUUCAGACCUUGGAACUGUUUGAGCAGUCACGAUCUCAUCCGGAACCGGCGGUGUCGUUUUCCGUCUAUAUGAGGGAGCGACGUAAGCACCUACCUACGCUGCACGCCAAUAUCGUUCCCAUAGUCGUGAAUGUAAAGAAGUUAUAUCUCGCAUAUGGUAGCAAUGUUUCCCCCCAUCUUCGUCUGGACACCUCUAUACCUCAGGAGAUUUCAGUGGUAGCAAUAAACGAACGGCAGCUGGAGAAUCAUUGCUUGGUAAAUGGGCCAAAUUUCCAAUCAUGCAGAAGAAAAGCUCAAUUCUUAACGACCAAGCAGCGUUUUCCGCGGCUGAUGGAAAGAGUCUUUCUAUGAAGAUCUACAGCUACAUCUAAAGUGACGGCCAGCUCGAGAUCUAUCAGCACAAAUCUAAAUUGACACGUCUUAGCGGUCAGCAUCACCUGCAGUUAUAACAGAUUCACAUAUAGUACUAUAUAUUUAUGUGUAUAGCUUGCGUGUAGACGAUGACUUUAUUUGCUAUUAAGAAGCGUAUCGUUCGCAGCGCUGAGCGCGAGCUAGAAAAUAGUGAUACCAUCAACUGGAGCGUAGAAUGAAAGAAACGUAUUCUAGAAUACGUUUCUUUCAUUCUAAGGCCAAAUGUAGGAGAGCUGGACGGAGAACUUUAGGGGCAGGCAAAUGUGUUUGGUAAUCGUGGCCAACUAUAAUCUGAAAGCUGCGGUACGCUUUGCACAAGCAUCUAAAAUGGAGAGAAAAUUAUGUUUGCAAGAAGUAACGUCGCCCUCGUUCAAAAAUCGGACGUGUAAAAUGAUUAUGGAGCAUUUUUCUAGAGUUGGUGAUUUCUCUUAGCCCCUUAGUAGUACUGGCUUGCGACAGAUAAUAAAACCUACAUCAAAGUGGA